GAUCCCUUAGCCUAACGGUAUGGCAUCUAACUACAACCGAGUGUGAGCAAACACGCUUGAAAGAUCAGGAAGGUAUCGGGUUCGAGUCCCGGAGAGAUCG